AACUGCAUCUUUCCCGGAGGGCAGCGCCGGCUAGCCACGGAGUCCCAGGGCGGAGUACCCCUUAUGCCCUGCAGUCCGAACAAUCGAUUCCGACUCAUCGGACGUCUCACGUCACUAACUUGACGAUUUACCAUCUCUACCACAAAGCAAAACAAAACAAAGCUAUAUAUGCAUCAAAACAUUGACAAUUGGACGAAAUUGGUGGCUUUGAUGUCCUUGCCACGACGCACCCACCCAACCUUGGGUGCCCCAAAAAGGAUGUAGGAGGCACGCCCCAUCUCCGGCAGACCGGAGUCUAUUCCUGGUGGAUUAGGAUCGGCUCAUCUCCCCGCCCAAGAAACACUCAAGGCCGAUCUCAGACCGUCGCCCAGAUGAAAAGCGGUCAAAGCGGCAACAACCGAAGGGAAAUUUUUAGACGCUUAAUACUACAAGUGUCAGGCAAAAAAUCGCCGCACGGCACUAAAUUGGAGGCGUUUGCCAACCGGGUCGCCUAAUCCUGAGGAGAUCCAAGGGAAAAGAAGGGACGUGCUGAAAAAGUAGUUGGACGCGCGGCCAGGGUUCGGAAUUAAGCCUCUAAUUUUAGAUUAGAUUUCACAGUGAGUAC